UACGUAGGGAGCAAGCGUUGUCCGGAAUCAUUGGGCGUAAAGCGCGCGUAGGUGGCCUCAUAAGUCCGCUGUGAAAGUCAAAGGCUCAACCUUUGAAAGCCGGUGGAUACUGUGAGGCUAGAGUACGGAAGAGGCGAGUGGAAUUCCUGGUGUAGCGGUGAAAUGCGUAGAUAUCGGGAGGAACACCAGUGGCGAAGGCGACUACCUGGCCUGUUCUUGACGCUGAGGCGCGAAAGCUAGGGGAGCAAACGGG
rnacentral:rRNA from 1 species